AUGUGUGUUCCUAAAAACAGAGGUGGAAUGGGCUUUCGGACAAUUGAUCCCCUACACUUGUGGGUUAUCACUAAACAGUGUUGGCGAUUAAUUGAUAACUAUGAUUCCUUAUGUGCUAGAGUUCUUCCGUCUAAGAAUUAUCCAAGUGGGGAUUUGCUUAACUAUGCUCUCAAGAAAGGCUCAUCAUACGUAUGGCAGAGCAUAUGGGUAGGCAUCCAAACAUUCAAGGAGGGUUGUAUCGGGAGGGUAGGUACUGGAGUGAAAAUAAGUAUGUGGGAUGAUCGUUGGAUCCCUAGCAGCUCUUCGAGGAAAAUUAUUACACCCAGAGGGAAUAUAAUGCUAUCCAAGGUGAAUGAGUUAAUAAGAUCCUAUUACGAGAUUUUGCAAUGA
rnacentral:rRNA from 1 species